GGAGAGAAGUAAGUAUUUGUCCUCACACACACGCGCGUUUUGUUUUGCAGCCGUGUUGUGCAUGACGUCAUUUGCUUGGACAGAAGGAAUAGACGAUAACUAACAUUCAUUAUCCUACGAUUAUUAUCAUCAGCAUGACAUUUUGGCCAAGGAGUCACCCAGUCGUGUUUCCACAUAUCCAGACAGACCACUGGAGCAAAAUGAAAACAAUGGUUCCAGUUUAUCUUGCAUCCGUUCCAGUUGCCUUGUUGAAGAGCAGAGAAGGUGAUCUCCACCGUACCCCCAACAGCAGCCUGUUCCCUCCGCUGCCACUGGAUGAAACUGCAGUUAAAGAUCC